rnacentral:rRNA from 1 species
UACGUAGGGUGCAAGCGUUGUCCGGAAUUAUUGGGCGUAAAGAGCUCGUAGGCGGUUUGUCGCGUCUGCUGUGAAAUCUGGGGGCUCAACCCCCAGCCUGCAGUGGGUACGGGCAGACUAGAGUGCGGUAGGGGAGAUUGGAAUUCCUGGUGUAGCGGUGGAAUGCGCAGAUAUCAGGAGGAACACCGAUGGCGAAGGCAGAUCUCUGGGCCGUAACUGACGCUGAUGCACGAAAGCUGGGGGAGCAAACAGG